CAAUAGCGUAUAUUAAAGUUGUUGCAGUUAAAAAGCUCGUAGUUGGAUUUGUGGCGUACGGUGUGUUCCGGGCACUUGUUGUCUGAGUAACCUGCUGUUGCCAUCCUUUGGUGGAACCUGUGUGGCAUUAGGUUGUCGUGCAGGGGAUGCCCAUCAUUUACUGUGAAAAAAUUAGAGUGUUCAAAGCAGGCUUAUGCCGUUGAAUAUAUUAGCAUGGAAUAAUGAGAUAGGACUUUUUUGCUAUUUUGUUGGUUUGCGCAAAGAGGUAAUGAUUAAUAGGGACAGUUGGGGGUAUUCGUAUUCCAUUGUCAGAGGUGAAAUUCUUGGAUUUUUGGAAGACGAACUACUGCGAAAGCAUUUACCAAGGAUGUUUUCAUUAA
rnacentral:rRNA from 1 species